GUUAUCUUUGAAGCCUGGGAAAAGUAACAGAGAUGAAUUGUUUCAUCUCUCUGACCGAACAGCCUCUCAAGAAGAAAACACUUUUUGAAAAAUGAGAUAAAAUGGUGCCUAGUGAGUCAUGAUUUCAGUUUGGAACAAUAAUAUGGAAAAAAAAGUGUUCCUAAGAAUAAACAUACAGCCACAGAAGACAGUAUAAUCUUACCAAUUUGCCUCAUCACAAAGACUGUGUUAAAGAGUAUCACUGUGUCAAACAGUGGAACUUUUGCAGAUAUAAAUUUGACGACAUCAGACCUUGAGAUGCCCUUCAAUUAAAACAGUAAUUCAGACCUCACAAAUGGCAGUUAAAUUCAAGUAUUCCAAAUGUAUGCUGAAUUUUAUGUAAGUGGUACAGGGGAAAUAAAUGACCAUGAACAACAAAAAAAUAAAGUCCUAGAAUCUGCAAAGAGUUUUAUCAUGCAAUCUUGUUAGAUACCAGAUAGCCCCUGUACUGGGGGAAAAGUGCUUUUUCAGGCUAUUAUUAAAUCUUUUUUCUGCCUCAUUGCCUUUCUUUUUGAAGCUUCAUUGCUUUUAUGCUUAUAGUUUUAUCCACCAUUGUUACCUCUUUCCUGCCAAAAAUGAAUGUCCCACUUAUAUGUGAUUUUAUCCUACAGCCUGCCAUUCUUCUCAACUGUGCAGCUCACAUAUGCAAGCACAUGAGCAGAUGGCCCAUAUACCUACACAGGUUUCGGCCCAUCACCUCUUUCUUUCUGUUCUCUAAGUAUGGACUACCCAGUGCUUCAUCCAAGGGAGAAAGAAUUGGCUCCUUGCUGUCAUUGACAGAAAAUUGAUUCAAGGGAAGAACUAUGAUAUAGAAGACUGUCUGACUGGGACCUAGGAGCAAAUCACUCUCUGGGCCUCAAUUUCCUCCUCUACAAAAGGAAGAAGGGCCUUCAAAGACUUAUUUAUGAAUUUCUAAGUCUGUGAACAUUUUAACAAUGAAAUGGUUAAUUUUUAGAUUUCUGAUUUUAGUAUUUUAAAAUAUUGUACCUACAGGUAGUUCCAGUAGAAUACUGUUUUGUAUUUUCUUUAUAAAAUAUGUAGAUGAUGACACCAAUGUGUCAUUGUACAUCAAUGAUGCACCAAUGUGGAGUCUGAAAGACCCACAUGGAAUCAUUCUUGGGCAGUGUUGUCACUCCUCUUAUCUUUCUGUUUAGGAAGAACAACAGCAAUAACAUUCUUACAGAUGCUAGCCUUAUCCUCACUGUCUGCAGAUUUUGAGCCUGCAAACUUUUCAGUGAGAUGAUGUGAGAAACGGUCAUUAGUGGCUUAUAAUAACCAAAAAGCUGUUUUUUGAAAAAGACAUUAGACUUUCCUGGUUAUGUGAAAUAGCUUUAGCAAUGGAGAUGAUUUUGGUCAUGGAAAAAAAAAACACAGUGAAAUCACCAGUGAGAACCAUUCCACAGCAAACAGUGGUGAAUGUAAGUGAGUUGCCAUUUUGAAACUAAAACAUUUUUACUAAAAUCCCAGCAUCAGUCAGAUAUACCUUCAUGUGCAUGAAAGAAGGAGCAGGGCAAAUAGAUAGAUGCAAGAAUAAGCAAGUGAACAGAAGCAUUAGUGUGGAAACAAACAAAUGCCUGGCAGUUAUAUAAGAAAGAUGAUCAUUUUUCCCAGUAGGAACAAGUAAAGAGAAUUCAUUGUUAUCAGAGUGUUUUGCAAAGCAAAACUCUCUUUUGGUCAUUCAUAUCUUUAUGUCUAAACCUGGAGUGCAUGACUUGGUAAUGAGGGAAAUGAAAUGUCCUCUGUCAGGUAAUUUGGAUUCCCGUGGGCCCAACAAAGUUCCCCAGGGGGAGAUUACAUGGCUCUGCCCUUCCUCCUGACACUCCCACCAUCUCUUUAACCCAGUCAAUUUCUACCCUAAUAUAUGUUUUCCUGAUAAACCUCCAAAUUAAAAUUUUCCUACCUAGAGAUAAAAGUGACAUGCAUUUUAUUUUAUUUUUUUUAUUUUUUAUUUAUGAUAGUCACAGAGAGAGAGAGAGAGAGAGGUAGAGACACAGGCAGAGGGAGAAGCAGGCUCCAUGCACCAGGAGCCUGACGUGGGACUCGAUCCCGGGUCUCCAGGAUCGCACCCUGGGCCAAAGGCAGGCGCCACACCGCUGUGCCAGCCAGGAAUCCCCAUGUUUUAAAGAAGAGUUAAAAAAACAAUCUCGAAAAUAUUUUGAAAUGCUGGUAGGAAAAUUUAAAACUAAGAAAUAAUAUUAUUUAACUAGAAUAACUUUGAGAUUGCCCAGAAAAUGUUCAAAAUAAACUUUCUUUUGUUUGAGACA
ensembl:lncRNA